AUCCUUUGGUUCAUGAUUGUGAUGAUUGGGUGUUCAUGCCUUAUGCAUCAGAUGUGCCUCCCUCAAACCUUGUUAAGAUGUGGGCACAUUACCCAUCUGAUA